UGUGACCUCAAAUCAGGUAGGACUACCCGCUGAACUUAAGCAUAUCAAUAAGCGGAGGAAAAGAAACUAACAAGGAUUCCCCUAGUAACUGCGAGUGAAGCGGGAAAAGCUCAAAUUUAAAAUCUGGCAGUCUUUGGCUGUCCGAGUUGUAAUCUAGAGAAGUGUUAUCCGCGCUGGACCGUGUACAAGUCUCCUGGAAUGGAGCGUCAUAGAGGGUGAGAAUCCCGUCUUUGACACGGACUACCAGGGCUUUGUGAUGCGCUCUCAAAGAGUCGAGUUGUUUGGGAAUGCAGCUCAAAAUGGGUGGUAAAUUCCAUCUAAAGCUAAAUAUUGGCGAGAGACCGAUAGCGAACAAGUACCGUGAGGGAAAGAUGAAAAGAACUUUGGAAAGAGAGUUAAACAGUACGUGAAAUUGCUGAAAGGGAAACGCUUGAAGUCAGUCGCGUUGUCCAGGGAUCAACCUUGCUUUUGCUUGGUGCACUUUCUGGUUGACGGGUCAGCAUCAAUUUUGACCAUUGGAAAAAGAUUAAGGGAAUGUGACAUCUUCGGAUGUGUUAUAGCCCUUGGUUGCAUACAAUGGUUGGGAUUGAGGAACUCAGCACGCCGCAAGGCCGGG
rnacentral:rRNA from 1 species